rnacentral:rRNA from 1 species
GUGAGGAAUAUUGCGCAAUGGAGGCAACUCUGACGCAGCCAUGCCGCGUGCAGGAAGAAGGCGCUACGCGUUGUAAACUGCUUUUAACCGGGAAGAAACCCCAGGACGUGUCCUGGGUUGACGGUACCGGUGGAAUAAGCACCGGCUAACUUCGUGCCAGCAGCCGCGGUAAUACGAAGGGUGCAAGCGUUAUCCGGAUUCAUUGGGUUUAAAGGGUGCGUAGGCGGAGCGUUAAGUCAGUGGUGAAAUCCUGCAGCUUAACUGUAGACUUGCCAUUGAUACUGGCGCUCUUGAGUGCGCUUGAAGUGGGCGGAAUGUGCCGUGUAGCGGUGAAAUGCUUAGAUAUGGCACAGAACACCAAUUGCGAAGGCAGCUCACUAAGGCGAUACUGACGCUGAGGCACGAAAGCGUGGGGAUCGAACAGGAUUAGAAACCCGGGUAGUCC